AAACUCCUGGGCUUCUUCCACUGCUGCCUGGCUGGGAUUGUUCAGCCCACAGCUAGAGACUUGGUGAUGACCCCAACGGAGGCCUGUGUGAGUGCGCACCGACACAGAACAGCUCUGCUUCCAAAGGUUCCAGGCAUCGUAUGAUCAGAGAGAUGGUGGUGAGCUGCUUGUCCGGCACCUGAGAUGGCAUUGCACAAGGAGACUUUGCUCCAGAGAUGAUGUCGUCCACAAAGCUCAGCACUGUUUCUGCCCAGAGGAGAAGGAAUGGAAAAAGCAUGAGAAACAAUGACGGCCAAGCAAUGAGGAGAUGGAGUCAACUCAAUGAGAACUUAACAUGACAAUGAUUUGGUCCUCAAUCUCUAGAGUAGAGAAGGAGACUUAGAAGGAAUGGCCUUUUCUAUUUCAUAUUUAACCACUCAGAGCUGUCUAGAGUUAGUUCAGACACAACUAGGGCAAGGGAUACACAUCACACCUGAGAGCUUCUUUUUUUUUUUUUUUUUUUGAGACAGAGUCUAGCUCUGUCACCCAGGCUAGAGUGCAGUGGCGCGAUCUUGUCUCACUGCAACCUCCGCCUCCUGGGUUCAAGCAAUUCCCCUGCCUCAGCCUCCCAAGUAGCUGAGAUUACAGGCACAUGCCGGGGUUUCACCAUGUUGGUCAGGAUGGUCUCGAAAUCCUGACCUCGUGAUCCGCCCAGCUCGGCCUCCCAAAGUGCUGGGAAUACAGGCGUGAGGCACAACGCCUGGCCUGGGCGCUCCUUUAUAAAAUUUUCUUGGCAUGGACAGAGAUAGCAUUCUGGUCAGUGGUCCCUGCCGUACCUCAGCAAUACCUGUGCGCAUCAGGCAAAGGGCCUUGGAAGAAGCGGUAGGCAGCUCUCUAUGCCUGAAGCAGCAGCUGCGUAUGUCUCUAACCCUCAGUGGCAGGCUCACCAGUAGCUGUUUAUUUUGAAUUAGAUUGUUGGUGCCAUCAUCCUGCUGGUGACCACAUCCCAUGCAUAAGUUUUUGGGAUUAUGAAUGUUGACCUUUCACUGUGUGCAGGUAGUGAAAUACUAAGGCAAGGAACAUUUUUCAUGGGGUGUUUCCAUUUUGUUAAGGCUUCCCUCUUACUAGCUGGACCUGAGAAAAGCAGUUUGCUUCAGGAAAAGACAUGGGCCAAACACAUCUGUUUGCACAUGCUUUUGCCUGGAAGGGGGUUAUUAGCAAAGGAAUUUUUUUUCUGUAAUCAUGGCAGUGGUUAGCAGAGAAUUGUUUCCUAAUUGUGGGCUAGGAUAACUAGUGUAUUGUAUUGUUGUUUCUUUGUGAGUGUGCCUAGAGGCAAUGAAAUGGACACCUCUUUUAUAAACAAAAAACAAAAUCAAAACAAGGCUUUGUCAGAUGCUCACCAGGCAAAAACUCUUAAAUGGACAAGAUGGCUGCUGCUUGGAAGAACAGCUGCUUCCUGGAGAAGAAGAACAGCUUCUUCUUCUCCCUGCUCCUCCUGCAUUGCCCUGGGAUACUGGGGACCUGGAGCAAAGCCAUGAGGCAGGGCAUUUUUCUUUGUUUUAGUUUUAUCACCUUGGAUCAAGACAAGCCCAUGAAGUAGAAGGUGCUCACCUGUCUCCACUUUGGAGUGGUCCAUCCUGUCAGUGACUUUCUCUUGACGGAGGAGGUAAUCUACAAUCUGCACCCCGAUUGGUGGCUCUGAGUGUUCCCACUCCAGGACCACAAGAGUGCUGCUGGGCUCGUGAACCGUGGAGAGUCUCAGCCUGUGUGCAGACAGGAAGGAACAUGAAACAGGGACACAACUGUGACUCACUUUGGGCACUGACUACCUCAAUUGUGAUACUGUAAGCUUUUCUUUCCCAACCAACUACAAAAAUGAUCUCUUUGAGGGCCUGUCUCUUUCAAAAGAUAGUAAUGUUUUUGAGGACUCUUGAGAUCUAUGUUUUAUGUAUUAAAUGCCUGUUACAUAUUAUAAACUCAGCCAAUAAGUGUAA
rnacentral:lncRNA from 10 species